rnacentral:rRNA from 1 species
UACGUAGGGGGCAAGCGUUGUCCGGAGUUACUGGGCGUAAAGCGCACGCAGGCGGUCUGCUAAGUUUGGAGUGACAGUUGGUGGCUCAACUACCAAAGUGCUUUGAAAACUGACAGACUUGAGGGCUCAGAGGGACACGGAAUUCCGGGUGGAGUGGUGAAAUGCGUAGAGAUCCGGAGGAACACCAAAGGCGAAGGCAGUGUCCUGGGGAGUACCUGACGACUCAGGUGCGAAAGCCAGGGGAGCGAACGGG